rnacentral:rRNA from 1 species
AACGAACGCUGGCGGCAUGCCUAACACAUGCAAGUCGAACGAAACCUUCGGGUUUACUGGCGCACGGGUGCGUAACGCGUGGGAACCUGCCCUUAGGUUCGCCAUAACUCCCCGAAUGGGGUGCUAAUACCGGAUCUUGUCUUCCAACCAAAGAUUUAUCGCCUUUGGAUGGGCUUGCGUUGGAUUAGCUAGUUGUUAGCGUAAAAGCCUACCAAUGCGACGAUCCAUAGCUGGUUAGAGAGGAUGAGCAGCCACACUGGUACUGAGACACGGUCCAGAAUACUACGGGAGGCAGGAGUGGGGAAUAUUGGAAAAUGGGGGGAAGGCUGAUGCAGCAAGGACGCGUGAGUGAUGAAGGCCGUAGGGUAGUAAAGUUAUUUUACACGGGAUGAUAAUGACAGUACCGGGAGAAUAAGCACCGGCUAACUCCGUG